rnacentral:rRNA from 1 species
GAUGAACGCUGGCGGCGUGCCUAAUACAUGCAAGUCGAGCGAACAGACGAGGAGCUUGCUCCUUUGACGUUAGCGGCGGACGGGUGAGUAACACGUGGGUAACCUACCUAUAAGACUGGGAUAACUUCGGGAAACCGGAGCUAAUACCGGAUAAUAUUUCGAACCGCAUGGUUCGAUAGUGAAAGAUGGCUUUGCUAUCACUUAUAGAUGGACCUGCGCCGCAUUAGCUAGUUGGUAAGGUAACGGCUUACCAAGGCAACGAUACGUAGCCGACCUGAGAGGGUGAUCGGCCACACUGGAACUGAGACACGGUCCAGACUCCUACGGGAGGCAGCAGUAGGGAAUCUUCCGCAAUGGGCGAAAGCCUGACGGAGCAACGCCGCGUGAGUGAUGAAGGUCUUCGGAUCGUAAAACUCUGUUAUUAGGGAAGAACAAAUGUGUAAGUAACUGUGCACGUCUUGACGGUACCUAAUCAGAAAGCCACGGCUAACUACGUG